GCUGACGCAGACGCGGCCCCGGUCCUCAUCCAGCACUGCCACAUGCCUUGCCUCCUCCAUGUAACAUGCAUUGGUGCCAGUGUCUGGCAGGGAUGAAUCCAUCAGGACCUGCCCAUCAGGCCCUGGGGCUCUCAAAGGCUCCCGACCUCAGUCAUCAUCUCCAGAAUACCAGUGCUCCCCACAGGACCAAGAUGACUGUGAGCAAGCGCGGCACCUUGAAGACUGCACUUUCCUGAUGACUACUGUCCCAGAUGCUGGAGUAUAAAGCAGAUGUAGGCUGGUCCUGAGGAAUCUUACAGCCUUACCAACAAUCACAGAACCCUUGACAUAGUAACAGAGAUGGACCUGCUACCGUGCUUGGGAGUUCAGGAUGUUCUAGAGGUUUGGAACAAAGAGUGUGAGGUAACAAGGAGCCAAAGACUUGCUGGAGAAGCAGGUAGGCUGGACUAUGGAUGGCCUUUAUGCCAAGCUAUGUUGUACAAAUUUCAUUCUGAAGGGAGAAGUGGACAGGGAUGGAUCUGUACUUCAGAAAGGGGUUCCACUAGUGGUAUAACUUUUAUGACUUCUUUGAAUUUUAGUUUUUUCAUCUGGGAGGAAAUAACUGCUUUUACAAGGUUGUUAUAAUAAUUAAAUAAGACUUGAAAAAUGCUUUGGGAAAUUUAAUGUGCAACACAAGCAUCAGCUCAUGGGUGGGUUUUGGAAGGUACAGUGAUGUAGAAUGGAAAGAGCCGUAUGCUCAGAGUUAAGGACCCAACUCUCCACAGAAGACCUAGCACCAGGUCUCCAAAUGGGAGGCCCAAUUUUCUUAAUCUGCAUAAAUGGGGAUCAAUAUAUGUCAAAGAACUUUGUGGGGCAAAUGAAAUAAUGAAUGCAAAAGGACCUUGUGCAGAAUGUACCUUCAGAUUUAUUUACUUGAAUCUGAAUUGAGCCUCAAUUUCCUCCUCUAUAACAGAACAAAAAUUCAGUUCUUGUGAGGAUUAAAGGAGUUAAUGGUUUGCAUACUGUAAAGAACUGUAGAAAUGUUGUAUUUUGCUAAUUCAAGCUAGAGGUGGUACUGCUAUUCCAAGAAAUUCCCAAGGGAGCCUUCAGUGAUUUAGGUGCCUUUCAGGAGUAAAGGAAAAGGGAAAUGCAGUGAAGGCCCCAAGAUGGGGAGAAGGGAUUUGUCCACUGAAUCAGUCUACCUCUCUUCCUGUAGCACAAGACUCCAGGGAAGAAUACCUUCCCAUCCCUGCAACCCUUGCCCAUCCUCCAUUCCCAACAUGCCCAUGAAUUUGCCCUCCUCAUGGUCAAAUUGAGCUGCUGAUUGUCCCAUCCCAGUCUUUUCCUCAGUCCCUAUCCCCUACUGUCCUCUGUCAGGCAUGCAAAGCCAUGAGCAAUCUCUUCAUUGCAAAAUUCUUGUCUCUUGGCUUUCAACAACUAGUCUUUCCUGGGCCUCCUUCCCUCAUAAUCUUCAUUACUUUUUCUCUCCACUCCC